GAUGAACGCUAGCUACAGGCUUAACACAUGCAAGUCGAGGGGUAACGAGAGGAAAGCUUGCUUUCCUUGUCGACGACCGGCGCACGGGUGAGUAACGCGUAUCCAACCUGCCCCCAACUAGGGAAUAACCUUGCGAAAGUAAGACUAAUACCCUAUAAUUUCCUCAGAUGCCAUCUGACGAGGAAUAAAGAUUUAUCGGUUGUGGAUGGGGAUGCGUCUGAUUAGCUUGUUGGCGGGGUAACGGCCCACCAAGGCAACGAUCAGGAGGGGUUCUGAGAGGAAGGUCCCCCACAUUGGAACUGAGACACGGUCCAAACUCCUACGGGAGGCAGCAGUGAGGAAUAUUGGUCAAUGGGCGGAAGCCUGAACCAGCCAAGUAGCGUGCAGGAUGACGGCCCUAUGGGUUGUAAACUGCUUUUAUACAGGAAUAAAGUUAGCCACGUGUGGUUAUUUGUAGGUACUGUAUGAAUAAGGACCGGCUAAUUCCGUGCCAGCCGCCGCCGUAAUAC
rnacentral:rRNA from 1 species